UACGUAGGGCGCAAGCGUUGUCCGGAAUUAUUGGGCGUAAAGAGCUCGUAGGCGGUCUGUCGCGUCGGAUGUGAAAGCCCGGGGCUUAACCCCGGGUCUGCAUUCGAUACGGGUAGACUAGAGUGUGGUAGGGGAGAUCGGAAUUCCUGGUGUAGCGGUGAAAUGCGCAGAUAUCAGGAGGAACACCGGUGGCGAAGGCGGAUCUCUGGGCCGAUACUGACGCUGAGGAGCGAAAGCGUGGGGAGCGAACAGG
rnacentral:rRNA from 1 species